rnacentral:rRNA from 1 species
AACGUAGGAGACAAACGUUAUCCGGAGUUACUGGGCGUAAAGGGCGUGUAGGUGGUAUCGUAAGUCUGGCGUGAAAUUUCUCGGCUUAACCGAGGCAGGUCGUCGGAUACUGCGAGGCUAGAGGGCGGUAGAGGCGUGUGGAAUUCCUGGUGUAGCGGUGAAAUGCGCAGAUAUCAGGAGGAACACCGGUGGCGAAGGCGGGUCUCUGGGCAGUAACUGACGCUGAGGAGCGAAAGCGUGGGGAGCGAACAGG